rnacentral:rRNA from 1 species
AGCGCACACGGUGGAUGCCUUGGCGGUCAGAGGCGAUGAAGGACGUGGCAGCCUGCGAAAAGUAUCGGGGAGCUGGCAACAAGCUUUGAUCCGGUAAUGUCCGAAUGGGGAAACCCACCCGCUUGCGGGUAUCCUGCAGUGAAUACAUAGCUGCUGGAAGCGAACCUGGUGAACUGAAAUAUCUAAGUAACCAGAGGAAAAGAAAUCAACCGAGAUUCCGUAAGUAGCGACGAGCGAACGCGGACUAGCCCUUAAGCUGGAUUGGUUCUAGGAAAACGCUCUGGAAAGAGCGGCCAUAGAAGGUGAUAGCCCUGUAUCUGAAAGGGCCAUUCCAGUGAAGACGAGUAGGGCGGGGCACGUGAAACCCUGUCUGAACAUGGGGGGACCAUCCUCCAAGGCUAAAUACUACUGACCGACCGAUAGUGAACCAGUACCGUGAGGGAAAGGCGAAAAGAACCCCGGAGAGGGGAGUGAAAUAGAACCUGAAACCGUGUGCGUACAAGCAGUAGGAGCUCCGCAAGGAGUGACUGCGUACCUUUUGUAUAAUGGGUCAGCGACUUACUGUUCGUGGCAAGCUUAACCGUAUAGGGGAGGCGAAGGGAAACCGAGUCUGAUAAGGGCGCAUAGUCGCGGGCAGUAGACCCGAAACCGGGUGAUCUAGUCAUGCCCAGGGUGAAGGUGCGGUAACACGCACUGGAGGCCCGAACCCACUCCCGUUGCAAAGGUAGGGGAUGAGGUGUGAUUAGGAGUGAAAAGCUAAUCGAACCCGGAGAUAGCUGGUUCUCCUCGAAAGCUAUUUAGGUAGCGCCUCAUAUGUAUCCUCUCGGGGGUAGAGCACUGUUAUGGCUAGGGGGUCAUCGCGACUUACCAAACCAUUGCAAACUCCGAAUACCGAGACGGACUGUAUGGGAGACACACGGCGGGUGCUAACGUCCGUCGUGAAAAGGGAAACAACCCAGACCCACAGCUAAGGUCCCAAAUUCACUGCUAAGUGGAAAACCAUGUGGAAAGGCACAGACAGCCAGGAGGUUGGCUUAGAAGCAGCCACCCUUUAAAGAAAGCGUAAUAGCUCACUGGUCGAGUCGGUCUGCGGGGAAGAUUUAACGGGGCUAAGCAGUGAACCGAAGCUUGGGGUGCAUACUUUGUAUGCGCGGUAGAGGAGCGUUCCGUAAGCCGUUGAAGGUGGAUUGAGAAGUCUGCUGGAGGUAUCGGAAGUGCGAAUGCUGACAUGAGUAACGAUAAUGCGGGUGAAAAACCCGCACGCCGAAAGCCCAAGGUUUCCUUGCGCAACGUUAAUCGGCGCAGGGUGAGUCGGCCCCUAAGGCGAGGACGAAAGUCGUAGUCGAUGGGAAGCAGGUUAAUAUUCCUGCACCUCGCGUAAGUGCGAUGGAGGGACGGAGAAGGUUAGGUGUACCAGGCGUUGGUUGUCCUGGGGAAAGGCGGUAGGUUUGGAUCUUUGGCAAAUCCGGGAUCCUUUAAGACCGAGCACCGAGACGAGCCUUUAUGGCGAAGUCACUGAUACCACGCUUCCAGGAAAAGCUCCUAAGCUUCAGCUUACGCAGACCGUACCGUAAACCGACACAGGUGGGUAGGAUGAGAAUUCUCAGGCGCUUGAGAGAACUCGGGUGAAGGAACUAGGCAACAUGGCACCGUAACUUCGGGAGAAGGUGCACCCUUUUUGGUGGCUCGUGCGAGCUAUAGCUGAAGAGGGUCGCAGUAACCAGGCCGCUGCGACUGUUUAUCAAAAACACAGCACUCUGCAAACACGAAAGUGGACGUAUAGGGUGUGACGCCUGCCCGGUGCUGGAAGGUUAAUUGAUGGGGUCAGCCGCAAGGCGAAGCUCUUGAUCGAAGCCCCAGUAAACGGCGGCCGUAACUAUAACGGUCCUAAGGUAGCGAAAUUCCUUGUCGGGUAAGUUCCGACCUGCACGAAUGGCGUAACGACAGCGGCGCUGUCUCCACCCGAGACUCAGUGAAAUUGAAAUCGCUGUGAAGAUGCAGCGUUCCCGUGGCAAGACGGAAAGACCCCGUGAACCUUUACUAUAGCUUUACACUGAACGUUGAGUUCGUCUGUGUAGGAUAGGUGGGAGGCUAUGAAACUGUGGCGCUAGCUGCAGCGGAGCCAUCCUUGAAAUACCACCCUGUCGUGCUUGACGUUCUAACCUGGGCCCAUUAUCUGGGUCGGGGACCGUGUAUGGUGGGUAGUUUGACUGGGGCGGUCUCCUCCUAAAGAGUAACGGAGGAGCUCGAAGGUACGCUCAGCGCGGUCGGACAUCGCGCACUGUGUGCAAAGGCAUAAGCGUGCUUGACUGCAAGAUCGACGGAUCAAGCAGGUAGGAAACUAGGACUUAGUGAUCCGGUGGUUCUGUAUGGAAGGGCCAUCGCUCAACGGAUAAAAGGUACUCCGGGGAUAACAGGCUGAUACCGCCCAAGAGUUCAUAUCGACGGCGGUGUUUGGCACCUCGAUGUCGGCUCAUCACAUCCUGGGGCUGUAGUCGGUCCCAAGGGUAUGGCUGUUCGCCAUUUAAAGUGGUACGCGAGCUGGGUUCAGAACGUCGUGAGACAGUUCGGUCCCUAUCUGCCAUGGGCGUUGGAGAUUUGAGAGGGGCUGCUCCUAGUACGAGAGGACCGGAGUGGACGAACCUCUGGUGUUCCGGUUGUCACGCCAGUGGCAUUGCCGGGUAGCUAUGUUCGGAAGCGAUAACCGCUGAAAGCAUCUAAGCGGGAAGCGCGCCUCAAGAUGAGAUCUCCCGGGGCACAAGCCCCCUGAAGGAACCAUGUAGACUACGUGGUUGA